rnacentral:lncRNA from 7 species
GGAACCACAUCUUCCAUCAUAUGCACUCCAUAAGAGCAAAAUUCCUCAGCUGAAGAUUCAUAUCAAACUUUGGACAAAUCACUCAGCUUUUGUUGUUGUUGCUGGUAAAAUACACUCAGUUUUUGAAAGUUUGGGGAAUAAAUUGCCAGUAUGGACAGAACUCCAUGCAAACUUUAGGAUUAAAAUGACAGAAUAAAUCUUGGAAGUUCUUGGAAAAGCUUUGAGUGAAUUAUAACCGGAGAUGAAAACAAGAUGGGUCAUGGACAGGGUCCCUGCUGUGCCUGCUCAGCAACUUAAUUUUCCCAACACUUAAUGCUUGUAAAACCACAGCAUCUCCAAGAUUGCUACCUGUGGAUUGUGCCUGCUUGAAACUGGCCAGUGCCUUCAGAAAUUGUUAGAGUGCCCCUAAAUUGACAUGCGUGGAGCUCUACACCCUGCUUUCUGAGCCUUGUUUCUCUUAUAACUCUAUGAUGAGUAAAUCAAGGGUGGUUUUGCACAAUUUGCUUUUGAGCUCUUGUGCAGGAUAGCUCACAGCCUGUCUUUCAGGAGAAGGUACCAGUUCACAGAGAACAGUCGCAGGGCUUGUAAAUAGUACAUAGAAGAGCAAUGACUCCAUUCAACCGAAUUACAUUUAAGAUUUGAUUAUGAAUGGCAUCUUUGAGGCAGGCCAUUUAUCAUUUGGCAUUCUACGUGGGUCUCGGUGUCUUGAAGCUUCAUAAAGGCAAUUUAUUAAACAGCUUCAGCCACAUCAGGAGGUGACUCUGUGAGCUGGUGAAAUCCACUGUCUGGUGCCCACCUUGUGGGCUGUGGUACCACCAAGGUGCUUAUCCUCUUGGUGCCUCAGCACAGCCAGCAGUGUAAUGGUUGUACUGGUUUUUAUCUGCCUUCUUACCUGUUCGGUGGGCUGACGAGCAGCAUGUUUUCAGUCUUUGCAUGAAAGGCUUCCACAUUAAUCCAUGCCACGAUCUGCUUUGUUUGCUUCCACCAUUAAAAUUACUUGUUUCCCCCAAAGAUCUGCCAUCUGUCACUCUUCACCUUUUACAUUUUUUAUGCUCCAUAGCUGAGCAAACACGAAUGCCUGGAUAAUCCUAUUUCCCAUUAUCUGUGCGUGGAAGUGCCCCGAGGUCAGGGCGAUGGCGAAGUCUCACCCCUGCCUGGGUUCCCUGGGACACCAGGGCUCUCCCUGCAGCCCUGUCCAAAUGCGGUCGCUAAUAGCACGGUGGGAUUUUCAUCGUAGUUGUUGCCCAAUCUUAAGAAAACUAUUUUAAUUUUCCCAGGAAGCAGCAUAAAAUUGAAGGUGGGAUGGGCAAGAAGAUGAAGCAUUAAAUGAGGGAAUGUGGGUGGCCAAAGGGGACAGCUCUGUGCUCUCAGCAAGGGUAGUGAUAUUAGGGUGUCGUUGGGCACCUUGGCACUUGACAAAGGGCCAAUCCUUGGAUGAUGGCUGGGACACAAGCCACUGAGUCACCAGUUGCAAAUGAUUUUUGUGUUUUCAUAAUCCUUGUGAGUAAUAUCCUGUCAAAGUCUCAUCAAAAGUUAUUAGUCUCUCCAUAAACUGAUACAUCAAUAUGUAAACUUGCCUUGUAAUUAAUUUUAUGAGCUAUGCCCCUGGCACCACAGAGCUCUUAUUUCAUUCUGGGAGCAUAAUUGAUUAGGCUUCCUGUAGCUAUAAUGUAGACCAAGGAUGUUGCCACCAAACAAGGAGCAAUCUAUGACAGCUCAUUUGCAGGGAGCUAUCUACUUUUUGCCAGUGUUGAGCAUACAGAAGGCAGAGAAAAAUAUUGUGUAUUGCUACUGCAGUGUUCUGCUUGGAAUUAAAAGAAAGAAAAAACAGGCUAAUUAAACAGACAAAUUAGUAAGGUAAACUUGAAUAUAUUUGUACAGCAGCUUUUAUUCUCCACUGUAAAGGUUUUUCUUCUCCACUGAAUUCCUUUGAUAAUGUUUGCCUCACCAUAGCAUCAUUCCCAUUCGGGCAAUUAGAUUUUGCAUUGCUAACAUUUCCCUGUUACAAUUGCAUCAGAUACUUUCCUCUGCUUUCCGUAACUGCAGUGGCACAAUCAAAUCUCUUUCUCUGAUCUGCCUUUUAGCAAUUACAGAGCCCAUCUUUAUGCCAACGCUUUAGUAAUAGGAUUUCCCUUCUCUGUCCCUGUUUAAUAUUUGAGUGAAUGUUACCUGAGAGAAAUAUGUUGGACGUGCAGGCUGUACUAGCUUAAUUUAUGGCUAGCAUGAAAGAGGCAAUAUUUCCUGUGGAUAAGGUCAAAAGGGCUUUGUUUUCUAUUAAUUAAAAAUAAGCUCAUACAGGACGGUGCGUGUAAGUAAUAAAGACAUAACGUGCAUUUGUGUGGC